rnacentral:rRNA from 1 species
GACGAACCGUGCGAACGUCGUUCGGAAUCACUGGGCUUAAAGGGCGCGUAGGCGGUUCAUCAAGUCAGGAGUGAAAUCUUUCGGCUUAACCGGAAAAGUGCUUCUGAUACUGAUGAUCUCGAGGGAGGUAGGGGUCCGCGGAACUUCUGGUGGAGCGGUGAAAUGCGUUGAUAUCAGAAGGAACGCCGGUGGCGAAAGCGGCGGACUGGAUCUCUUCUGACGCUGAGGCGCGAAAGCCAGGGGAGCAAACGGG